rnacentral:rRNA from 1 species
CCUACGGGUGGCAGCAGUGAGGAAUAUUGGUCAAUGGGCUUACGCCUGAACCAGCCAAGUCGCGUGAGGGAAGACUGCCCUAUGGGUUGUAAACCUCUUUUGUCAGGGAGCAACGCCGGCUACGUGUAGCCGGACUGAGAGUACCUGAAGAAAAAGCAUCGGCUAACUCCGUGCCAGCAGCCGCGGUAAUACGGAGGAUGCGAGCGUUAUCCGGAUUUAUUGGGUUUAAAGGGUGCGCAGGCGGAGGUGCAAGUCAGCGGUCAAAUUGCGGGGCUCAACCCCGUACUGCCGUUGAAACUGCAUCCCUUGAGUGCGCGAGAAGUAUGCGGAAUGCGUGGUGUAGCGGUGAAAUGCAUAGAUAUCACGCAGAACUCCGAUUGCGAAGGCAGCAUACCGGCGCGCAACUGACGCUCAUGCACGAAAGCGUGGGUAUCGAACAGGAUUAGAUACCCCUGUAGUC